GACGAACCGUAAGAAAGGUCUUCGGACUCACUGAGCUAAAAGGGUGCAUAGGCGGGGAUGAAAGUUGGGGGUGAAAUCACUCGGCUUAACCGAGGAAUUGCGCCCAAAACUACAGUGCUUGAGGGAGAUAGAGGUGAGUGGAUCUUAGGGUGGAGCGGUGAAAUGCGUUGAUAUCCUAAGGAACCCCAGUGGCGAAAGCGCGUCACUGGGUCUUCACUGACGCUGAGGAACGAGAGCUAGUGUAGCGAACGGG
rnacentral:rRNA from 1 species